AUGCAUUUGUAUAAAAUGGAAGGGUUGUAUCUAUGGACUGAACUGCAGAAUGCCAGAAUAGAGGGGGAAAGCCUAGCCUAUCGAAGACUAGCAUCUUCACGCAGCUCUGAGCAUCUUGCAGCAUGUAGAAGAGUAAAGAAUAGCAGUUUAUAUUUAACAAGCAUGUUAUCUAUACUAAGUAUGCAUUUGUAUAAAAUGGAAGGGUUGUAUCUAUGGACUGAACUGCAGAAUGCCAGAAUAGAGGGGGAAAGCCUAGCCUAUCGAAGACUAGCAUCUUCACGCAGCUCUGAGCAUCUUGCAGCAUGUAGAAGAGUAAAGAAUAGCAGUUUAUAUUUAACAAGCAUGUUGUAA
rnacentral:rRNA from 1 species